rnacentral:lncRNA from 1 species
AGCAUCAAUAUGUCUUCUAAGAAUCCCGACGUCACUAAAGCAAUUUGGCCUAGCAAUGGUCCUCCGCCGCAGCCGCCUUCUCAGAAAGGUUCCUCGUUUCCAAAUCCUCAGGGGUGUCUCGGAAAAGGUGGGAAAAAGAAAGGGAACAAGUGAAGAAUUAUGCAGCAGGUUCUAAAUAUAAUGUUUAUAUAUUGUUGGGAAUAUAGCAGAUGUAUAAAUACAGAAGUUGUUUUCAUUCAAAUUUCCUUCAUUAAUUCAGUUAGCAUUAUUAUAUUGUAAAAGGGGUGGCUGCUGCCAAGAAUAAAUCCCAACUAUGUGUAAAAGAAACACAGUAUAUGUAUUAUUUGAUUUUGUUCCACAACUCUUGUUGCUAUAUUUCAUUGUGUUUUUGGUUUGAUAGUGUUUACACCAAGUUUUGGGUCUCCC